rnacentral:rRNA from 1 species
CAAGUCGAACGUGAACGGGGGCAACUCCUAGUAAAGUGGCGUACGGGUGAGUAACGCGUAGGUAAUCUACCUUAGAGUCUGGAAUAACCUGCCGAAAGGCGGGCUAAUACUGGAUAGAGCGAGGGAACACGUAAGAGUGUUUUUCGGGAAAGGGAGCUCGCAAGAGCCUUUGCUUUAAGAUGAGCCUGCGUCUGAUUAGCUAGUUGGUGGGGUAAUGGCCCACCAAGGCGAUGAUCGGUAGCUGGUCUGAGAGGAUGAUCAGCCACACUGGAACUGAAACACGGUCCAGACUCCUACGGGAGGCAGCAGUGGGGAAUCUUGCGCAAUGGACGAAAGUCUGACGCAGCCACGCCGCGUGAGUGAAGAAGGCCUUCGGGUUGUAAAGCUCUGUCGGGAGGGACGAAAAACUUUUGGGUUAACAGCCCAAGAGCUUGACGGUACCUCUAAAGGAAGCACCGGCUAACUUCGUGCCAGCAGCCGCGGUAAUACGAGGGGUGCAAGCGUUGCUCGGAAUUAUUGGGCGUAAAGGGUAGGUAGGUGGUCUGAUUAGUCGGGGGUGAAAGCCUUGGGCUUAACCCAAGAAGUGCCCCCGAAACGGUGAGACUUGAGUCCUGGAGAGGGUCGUGGAAUUCCCGGUGUAGCGGUGAAAUGCGUAGAGAUCGGGAGGAACACCAGAGGCGAAGGCGGCGACCUGGACAGGCACUGACACUCAACUACGAAAGCGUGGGGAGCAAACAGGAUUAGAUACCCUGGUAGUCCACGCUGUAAACGAUGGGUACUAGGUUUGGCGGGUCUUGACCCCUGCCGAACCGGAGCUAACGCGAUAAGUACCCCGCCUGGGAAGUACGGUC